AAACGCUGCUUGGAAGACACAGGCUUCCAGGUGUGAAAAUAGCUGUAGAUAAGACCCCAAUAAGCCUGCUGUGAUCCAAUAAAACCCAAUUCAGGUCUUAGUUGCUGCAUGUGGAAUCUUUAGUUUCAGUUUAUGGAAAACAGUUCCCCAACAAGGAAUCAAACUUGGGCCGUCUGCAUUGGGAGCUCAGAGUCUGAGCUAUUGGACAACUACGGACGUCCCCAUAAGGGGUUCUUAAACAUGGAAGAAGGAGGCCAAAGAGUCAGAACACAGAGCUGGCAUCAUGAGAAAGACUCGACAGCCAUUGCUGGCUUUGAAGAUGGAAGGGGACCACGAGCCAAGAAAUGCAGGCAGACUCUGGAACCUGGAAAAGGCAAGGAAAUGACUUUUCCUCCAGAGCCUCCAGAAGGAACACAGUUCUACUGAAAACCUGAUUUUAGCCCCGUGAGACCCAUUUUGGAGCUUCUGACUUCCAGACCUGUAACACAUCUAUGUUGUUUUAAGAUACCAAGUUUGUGAUAAUUUGCU
ensembl:lncRNA